rnacentral:sRNA from 1 species
GGGAGAAUGAUGGUCACUCCAGUCGAGCUGCACAAGAGCCUCAACACCAAGGUCUGGCAGGACCACACUCUGGCCUGGGACACCAUUUUCAAAUCAGUCAAAUCUUGUAUCGACAACCGGUUAGAGAAGUAUUCUCAGCAGUCUAGUGCAGAUUUCCUUUGUGACAUUUAUCACCAGAAUCGGCUUUCAAAGAAAGAAUUGUAUGCUGCUGUCACAGAGCUCCAGCUGGCUGCAGUGGAAACGGUAAGGGUGGGCUGGAUUUGAGUUUGCUAAAUGAACAUUCUGUACAAUUUUUAGAUGACAGAUUUUAAAUAGUAAUUCGUCUCAUUCAUUUCACUGGGAUUCACUAGCACCAACUCCACAAAAAUGAAAAGUCUCAU